UGUGCCAGCCGCCGCGGUAAUACAGAGGGUGCAAGCGUUAAUCGGAUUUACUGGGCGUAAAGCGUGCGUAGGCGGCUAUUUAAGUCGGAUGUGAAAGUCCUGGGCUCAACCUGGGAACUGCAUUCGAUACUGGGUAGCUAGAGAUCGGUAGAGGGCGGCGGAAUUCCGGGUGUAGCGGUGAAAUGCGUAGAUAUCCGGAGGAACACCGAUGGCGAAGGCAACCGCCUGGGCCUGGUCUGACGCUGAGGCACGAAAGCGUGGGGAGCA
rnacentral:rRNA from 1 species